UACGAAGGGGGCUAGCGUUGUUCGGAAUUACUGGGCGUAAAGCGCGCGCAGGCGGCUAUCCAAGUCAGUGGUGAAAGCCCGGAGCUCAACUCCGGAACUGCCAUUGAAACUGUUUAGCUUGAGGAUGAGAGAGGUGAGUGGAAUUCCCAGUGUAGAGGUGAAAUUCGUAGAUAUUGGGAAGAACACCAGUGGCGAAGGCGGAUCACUGGACAGGUAUUGACGCUGAGGUGCGAAAGCGUGGGGAGCAAACAGG
rnacentral:rRNA from 1 species